UACGUAGGGUGCAAGCGUUGUCCGGAAUCAUUGGGCGUAAAGCGCGCGUAGGCGGCCCCGUAAGUCCGCUGUGAAAGUCAAAGGCUCAACCUUUGAAAGCCGGUGGAUACUGUGGGGCUAGAGUCCGGAAGAGGCGAGUGGAAUUCCUGGUGUAGCGGUGGAAUGCGCAGAUAUCAGGAGGAACACCGGUGGCGAAGGCGGCAUCCUGGACCGACACUGACGCUGAGGAGCGAAAGCCAGGGGAGCAAACGGG
rnacentral:rRNA from 1 species